CGCGGCGCGAAGAUGGCGGCACCGUAGAGGGAGCUCCCGCGCGUGGCGCCGGGGGGCGCCGGGGCCUACAUAACGGCAGUGGUGGGGCCAGCGCGGCCCCGGGAGCGGGGAGAGGCCGGGGGGCGAGAGAGACCAGCGCUGGCAGAGUGCGCUUGGGCUCCGUCCGGCUGUGCUCGUCUCGGCAGGGCUCCUGUCCCCGGUACUGACUCGGGCAUGUCACCUCCAGGACAGUCACCUGCUGUCAUCGCCGGCCUCAGCCACGGGGCACGGCCCCCAUGGACCCACCACCUCCUGGAGGAGCCUGUGGUGGGACCCUCGGGGGACGCAGACAGCGUUACGGGUUCUGCAGCGGAGCAGCUGUGACCCUGCCCUGUGCUUCGAUAGAGCUGUGACCUGCCGGGCGGGCAGCGGCUGGGGUUGGCAUGCCCGGGCUGUCCUGCAGCUCCGCAGCUGAAUACCCCGUCAAAAUCCUCUGGAGCUGAGGCUGUGGCCUUCAGAUCCUGCGCCACGCCAGCGCUUGUGACCCCGUCCUGCCUGCUGCCGCAUCCCAGCCUGAGGAAUUGAUUCAUAACCGACUGGGGGACAUCAGGGACGUACCAGGCCGCAAUCAGUUUGACGCAGAGCGCCACGUGCUGCAGAGAGCAAAGGGAGCCGCCGCGGGCAGUGAGGAGCUCCCCGGCCGGUUAACCUGGCCCGUGCGAGUGGCACGGACCCAGCCCGUUUCCCCUUGCCGCCAUGCUCCCCGAUUGCCCCAGCCUCCUCCUGCCUCCCCGGGCGCUCACCUCAAAGAGGAUGAGGAAGGCAAGCCGGGUCGCGAAGAUGUGCCAGAACUGGACGGUGUAGCUGUAGUCGUCGGCGUUCCUGUAAUCCUGGUACCUGCGGCACAGCCCCGUCGGUGCCAGCCCGGGCUUCCCCCAGGCCAGACAUCGCGCCCUGCCUUGGCCCCAUCCCUGGGGGUCCGAGAGCAGCCCCGGCGCCUUCCUCCACACGGCUGCCUCCAAGCCCGGCUCUCCCACCUGCCCGUUCCCCAGCUGCAGGCUGGAUGUCACGGUGAGGGGCUCGGAAUGGGGGUAUGCUACUGAGCAACGGCCACGGGCUGCUGUUACCUGCACUCCUUGAUCUCAUCUGUGACAAAGUCCAGCAGCGUUUCGGACACCUUUGUGUGCGGCUCGAAGUCCUGGAUGCGGAAGACGGAGAGGCUGUGGUUGAUGUACCCGGUCGAGCAGCUGCGGGGGGAAAGAGCGUGUCUGCGCAGGGGCUGUACGUGUACUUGUAGACCAGCAUGGGAAUGAAGUCGGACGUGAUGGCGAUCACCAGUCCGUUCCCGAUGACAGCCAGGAUGCCGAUGGCCUCCAGGACCUGCAGCCAGAUUCCUGCGGGAGAGCGGCGGUCGGUGAGGCCCCUCUGACAGCUCACUGCCGCUGUGCAAGGGUUGCAGACCGAGCCCCAGCCCGGGGACAAGUUUGGCAUGGCCAGAAGAGGUCAAGUAGGAGACCUCCCAGCUGCCCCUCGGCCUCUGCAGGGCCUGAAAUUGCUUCUCGGUCCCAACCCGCAGCUCUCCCUGUGCUCUCCUGCCUCCGCGGUGAAGCGAUACCAGCCCCCGGCGAGGGGCUGCUCGAGGGCCUCACGCUGGGGAGGGGGCUUAACGCCGGCACCGUUCGCACAAGCAGCAGUGCGGGAAGGAGGGUGCUCCUUGGGCCCCAGCUCACCGAUGUCGUUGGCCUUCCUGGGCACCAUGCGCCGGUGCAGCCGCAUCAUCUUGAUGGCAUCCAGGCGGAUCUCGAAGAGGUUGUUGCAGAAGGCCAGCAGCGGGGCGAGGGGGAAGGCAGCGACGAAAAUGGUGGUGAAGCUGUACUGGAUCACUGCGGAGGAGGAAAGUGCCGGGUGCCGGUGUGAAGCCACUGCAGAGGGGACAUCCCACGGGGUCCCAACCGCUGCCUGGGUUUGUCCUGCUUUGUGGCUUGUGUCAGAGGGGCCUCGCGGGGUGAAAGGGGGAGGUAGACCCCACAGGAGAAACCCACCGCUCACAGGGUGCUCGGAGGGGGAUCUGUGGGGUCCCGCAGGGCGCUGGUUGAGCCAGCCAGGCAGAGGGACCACCCUGGGGUUACAGCCAUCACCGUGACACUCCUGGGAGGAGAGGAAGGCCCAGGGCCAGCACAGCUGCCUGCUCUCCCUUGUUUGGGAACAACCUCCUUGGUGUGCCGCAGCUCUUGGAGCUGGGUCUCGGAGCUCUCCCUUGCCUACGUGUGGGCUCCUCAGCAGCAGGCUCUCUCCAGCCAAGGAGGACGCGUGGCUCUGCACCCAGCGCCCCUCCUCGCUUGUCCCCCUGCCUUACAUACCCAUCUCCAGGAACUCAUCAAACAAGCUGAAGACGUUGACCUCGUUGAGUUGAUAGUUGCUCAACCACUGUCUUUUGCAGGGGUCCUCGACCUCCUCCUCCUCCCAUACCAUCAUGCUUCUCUUCUUGGGGCGUUGCUGCUUCUUGCGUUGCUUGUGGGUUAUCCAGCUGCAAGGGGAGGGAGCAAUUUGUACGGUUGCCCACAGAGGACAGCGGGGCUGAACUGCUGCCAGUGACAGCCCUGGAGACCUCGGGAAGGAAAAGGAGGAAAUCUUGGCCCAAAGACCAGGGUCUGUAAGAGCUGCGAAGCUGUCCUGAACGUGCAGGAGCACCAGGGAGCUGCUCCUCGGGCUGGAGGAAAGCUUACGGGAUGAGAUACUCUAUCACGUUGCUGAUGGUCUGCUUGAGCAGCAUGAUGAUGGCCAUCUGGAUGCAGAGGUCAGUGAUGCAGCCGCUGGGGUGGCACUGCGAAGGGACGAGAGGAGAGGAGUUGUGCCUUGCAAGCGGGGUGGCCCAGCCUCGGGGGCUGCGUGGUCGAGGCAGGCACUUUGUGGGGGAAGCCGAGGUUCCCAGAGCCUUGCUGGGCAGUAUGGAAAGGAAGAGUAGGAGAUGUGGCGUGGGGCCAGAGAGCUUCAUGGCAAGUCCCUCACCUCCUCCAGCCUCCACUUGCCAGCAAUGCGCACAUAGUUCCCUGGGCGGCCGUUGAUCCUGAGCAAGGAAGCAACAAGAGCGUUAUCUGUUGGGCCCCGUUGGAUGAUCAUCCAGGUGCAGGAUGGAGGGCAUCAUUCUCCGGGCACCGGUGGAGAGGCAAGGGGUUUCGCCCACCCACCAUGCCCACGGGGAAAAGUCAUCGCACUGCUGAGGUCCCAACUGAGGUCUCUGUGCCUGGUGGGGAGGGCGGAGGGACUGGGCUGUCCCAGGACCCUGGGGAGAGUUGGGGAUGUAUGCCCCAAGCCCAGGUCCCCUCUGCUCCCCCCUGGCCUCCAGCCACCACUCACCGUCCCAGGAAAAAGGCGAUGUAGAUGAGUGAAGAGAAGUGUGUGAAGAACUGGAAGGUGAAGAUCUUCACGGUGAAGUUGUUCUCACGAUGGGAGAAGGUCCGUGGUUUCUCUGGGGAAGGGAGCAAGGCCCAGGGGCUUGGUCACAGAGCGGUGGGACCUUGCCCUGCUCCCCCUUGGAUGCCACAGCAGCUCUUUGAAGGUUGGAAGGGUGUCUCUGCCCCUCGUGGAGCCUUCCCCUGAGCCCUUUGAUGGAGCUGAGCCCGGCUAAGCAGGGAGGUCCCUCAGAGCCAUGAGCUGGGGGAAAAGGGGCCCUUCAGCUGGGGAGGAAACCGUGUUGUGAGCUCUCCGGCAGCUGUGGUGGCCUCCCGCUCGUGCCGGGUCUCAGCCCCGCAGGGUGACUGCCCCUCCAAAGCGUAAUGUGGCUGGGGGCCACAGAUGAGCUUGUGUGUGGGAGGGCUGCUGGCCUCCCGUGGGGACCUGCGUGGCAAGAGCUGCCCGGUGAUGGCGGAGGAAGGGAAGGGGCCAGGACCCCGGCUGCAUUUGGGGACCGAGGGGGUGCUGCGCUGCAGUCCCUGGGUACAGCUCGGCGCUGUGAGGUGCGGGCGCAGUUUCCCUUACCCAGGUCACAGAGGUAGAGGGCCACGUGCCUGUUGACCUGCAGGAGAGAGGCAUAAAUGAGAGAGGAGGGUUGAUGGUGGAAAAGCAAGGAGAAGAGCUGCUGCCCGCCCCGUGUCACGCUCCGCACCUUGGUCAUGAUGACAAUGGUGAUGUAGUGCAGCACGGCCCCUGUUAUCACCGCCAUCGUGUUGGCCUGCUCACGGAGGAACUCCAGGUUGCUCUGGGUGAACAGAGCCGUUGCUAUCACCCGGUAAAUGACGAGCGCGUGGGCGAUGCCGAUCUGCACGACAAUCUGCGGAGAAAGGCAACGGGGUGGUGAGAAGCCGUGCAUGGAGGUCAUGUGCUCCAUUCCACCUGAGGACCACCAGCCCUUCAAACCCUGGCUCCCUUCACCAGAGCUCAUCUGGAUGUGGCCUCAAAUGCAAGCCAGUGCUCUUCAGUUAAGGUUGAGAGGUUCAUAAGGUGGAUGUCUCCACCUGAACUACUCAUCUAGACUCUCUCCAUUGGCUCCCGGGGAGAAAUGAGGGCAUCGAGGGUUUGCCUCUUCCUGCCCUCUGCGUUACUGCUUUUAUCCUCACUGCCUUCCACUGCGGGAGCAGAGCCUUCAGCCCAGAUCCCCAGAGGGUGGUUGGCCUCUCCCAUCGGCACAGCGAGGUGUGAGCGUAGGGAGGCCCUGGAUCCUUGUGAUGGGCACGGACCUGCCCUAACAACCUGGUUUCUGCCUUUGCUCCAGCAGUAGGACACUCCGAGGUGCUGGUCUUGUGGCAGAGUAGGGAGGGAAGGAGGAAAGCCCUUAAACCAGAUCUUCCUAUGGUCACCCUGGCACGUACCAUCAACAGAACCAAGAGGAGUACGAUGGUGCUGCGUAAGUAGGAGUGCUGGUACUGCUGGGGUUCGUGCUGCAAAUUGUUGAUCAGCUCCAUAGCCAGCUCCUCCUUAAAAAAAAAAAAAGAAAAAAAAAGUCAGAAAAUGGGAAAGAAAGGAUCCAGCAGAGCUGCGCCCAGGUAGCGGAAGGUCCGGGGGUCAUCGUGUUAAUGGACAUAUGGGAUGAGCAGCGCCAGAGAGGGACAGGGACGAACACCCAACCCGACCCACCACAGCGUGGCUAAUCCCGAUUGAGUUCAAGGCCUUGUGCCCAGAGAGGUGACCAGCAAUGCAGAGAGGUGGCUACCAUCUGCUUGGCUCUCUGGAGGGCUCUGUCUCUGCCAGGACCCUCCCAGGACUGACAGAUGUUGGCUUUGCUGUUUGUUUAGGUGCCUCCAUUAGAUGUUUACAUCUACAGAGAACCAAGCUGGGCGAGGGGUCCCCGUGACGUGUCUUUUCUGUAGGUCCAGCUGACUACUGCCCUGAAAAGGGAAGCACGAAGCAGGAAAGAUGCCGUCCUCACCUCUUCCUCAUCCCACCUGUACAGGUCCCAGUCGGUGACCACGGUGGCUCUCUGCCUCUUCCACAGCUCCAGGAACACGGUGGCUGUGGGGGGGAAGGAGGCAGCGCUGAGGCACUCGGGGAUGGCUCUGGAGACACAGAGCGGGAUGGACAGUCGUGUCCGAACCAGCCCAGGUUGCCCUCGGCCCCGUGACGGACCGGCAGCCGCGUGAGUGGCCCUGGCCAUGCCGCAGCGAGCGCUCGGCCCCAUGUGGGGACGGGGUGGAGGGAUGCGGGUGGGCUGCCGCUGGCAGGCAGGCCAGCUCUCGUGUCAGUAGGGGAUAAGCACCGGGGCCGUUCUGCUGUGGUGGGCACGUCUACGUGGCACCGGCGUGACGCUUGGUUCUGGGUUGAUGAAAAAUACACCUUUCGAGCGGAAUAGGUGUCCCGCACCGCGCCCCAGCGUGGCUGCACCUCUGCAAAUCCAUUUACAGCCACCUCUCCUGUUAAUCCCAUUGACCUUCCUGAGCUCGUCCCCGUGCAAACCAGCCCACAGCGACACGCGAGACCACGUCCGUGUCCUGCUCAGACCACGGUCCCGCAGGCGAAUGGCCCGGCCCGCACCCGCGGUGGUCUUUGUAACUGAACGGGCUGGCGUAAAAGCAAAAGGGGUGGGUAGACAAUGCGGUGACGGGGUCACAUCAGCUCAGAGCCCGGUGGUCUGCCGUGCGUAUUCCCCAGCAGCUAGGAGAGCGUGCAGCAACCUGGGAAGGUCAGUGAGGGAUCUGGCGGUCCCUCCUUCCCGCAGCUGCUGGAAAAGCCCAGCCGGAGCGGCUGGUGGGUGCUCUGCAGGGGGUUGGGGUGCGUGAAGGAGCGACAGCUCUCAGGCAGGACGGGUAAGGAGCGUUUGGGGAGCUGAAGGAAACAGCUGGGGGGAGUUUGUCCCUUCCUUGCCUGGAAGGGGAGCUGAUGUCUCUGGAAGAAGAGGAGGUGAGGACUAAAGGGCCCCUGAACGGUGAAGCUGCGUUGGUGUCCCAUUUUCCUCCGCCCGCUCUCCCCCUAAGCCGCGGUGGGCUGCUCCCUCUUCCGAGCUGCGUGUGCUUGGCACCAAGACGUGGACACCUACCCCAGAUCGCCAUGAACAUGGCAAACACAACUGUCCCCUCGUUGUCAAUCAUGUGAGUGACCUGGAGAAGACCAAGGAAGAGCGUGACGGGGGCAGCGGGGUGCGGGGGCUGCGACACCCGGGGGGGCUGGGGAGAGGCUCAGCGCUCCUCUUGCCACCCUGGUCCCCCCGAGACGGGUAAAGAUGCCGCAGGAGGGCGAAGUGUGGGAAGGGGACGGGCGCUGGGGCUUGUUAGCGGUAAAGUCUUCCUUGGUGGUGAUGGAGACCGUGACCCGGCUACACCUCCUCCGUAUCGCACAGCUUAGCGGAGGUUUCCUGCGUGUUGUGGCCAGGUUGCUGGGGUGGCUUUUCUCUCCAGUGCUGGGGGACCCGCACAAGCUGGGAGCGUGUCCCCGUCCUUUGCCUUGAGCCCGUCCUGGGAAGGGGCUGCCCACCUUGGCAUAGGUGCAGGUGUCGGAGAGCAGCCAGAACGGGCACUUCUGGUCGCAGAGCGGGCACAUGAUGGUGGUGUUGGCUUCGCAGAUCUCCUUGCUAGAGAGAAAGGCGUAGAGGGAAGCAAAGGGGAAUAACGGCGGCUCAAAGCCACGCGCGUAGCAAAGCCUCGUGAACGGGACGCGCGUUCGGCGUUCCCAACUGCCUUACCUCACCUGGCUGGAACUGAAGACGGUAAUCCCAGCCACGAAGACCACCACUCCGGCCAACGCAGCGAAUCCCAGCAGAGGGAGAGCCAAUCUUGCCGAUGCUUCCGUAUGAACGGCCGUGGUCCCACAAGCACUGCUUCUGCCUGUCCGUGGAGGGAGCCCCGAGGGUCUCACUCAAGGGGAGACGCCUGCACGUGGCCAGACUGACGCGUGCCAGUUCUCUGAGGCGACUCGUGGUGCAGCCCCGCAAGCAGUUGUGCCGCUGUUCCCGAGGGCACGGCGACGCGGCACAGGAGCGGGAAGGAGCUGCCAGGGGAUGGGGACGUCGUCAGUCAGCGUUGCCACCAAAGGCGUUGUGACCUGAAACAGCGGCCAGCCAGACAAGUUCAUCCAGCUGUAAUCUCGGGAGCAGAGCGGUGGUGGUGGUGGUGGUGCAACCAUGCCCUGAUGUAAGACCUGGAUCCCAAGCUUUCACUGAAGAAUGAGGCCAUGGGAGCAGGAGAGACCGGGAUGAGGAAAGGGCUGAACGCUCUGCCAGGUCCUCUCGCACGGAGCCGGGCUCCUGGCUUCCCCUGAAGCUUAAAGGGCCGUGGGGAGAGUGACCACCAGAAAGCCAAAGUGAGAAGCCUCGAGCAGAGGGACGUUCUCCCCCAGAGACGCUGUUGCAGUAAGGACCAGCACUUCCCACCAGUAAAAGGUGCCCCAGCGCAGGCCAAGUCGCAGAGGGGGGUUGCGGUGCUGUCCCUUGCUCGCCGAAGCCCCGAGCAGGCUUUGGGCUGGGAGAGCUGGGGUUUGGCUCGGGUGGGUGUCCCGGGUGGGUAAGCACCUCGCUGGUGCAGCAGCUCUCCCCGUCCCCGGCCAAGAGCCCCUCUCUGGGCACGGGGCGGGAGCAGGAGUCGUGCCGGGGCUCUGCCCCACUGCUGAUGCUCUGACACUGGCAUGGGUCUGGGGGUCAGCACCCCUACACGGCAGUCCUGCUGCUGCGGACCCCAACGAGCUCAGGGGGAGGAGAACGGAGCCGCGAGUGCCGCAGCCGCCAUUCCCGGGCAGCUCUCUGCAGGCACGGUCCCCUGCCCAGCGGUCGGAGCAUCCUGCCCAGCACGUCAUUUCCCGGGGAGGAGGCUGAUGGGAUGACCAAGGUACGCUCGCCAACGGGACGUAUCCAGCCGUGGGGCUUGGGCUGGGUAGCCAGGCUGGGAGCUGGCGUAUCGGCAGCCCCAGAUCCCUGCCCGUGCCUCAGAGCCUGCCCCGGGGAGAGCUUGGGGCUGAGCCCGCAGAGCUGCGGCAGAGCAUCCUCCCUCCCGCAGCGCUCCCAGCCAUAACGUUGCCGGUCUCAGGCCGGAUGCGCCAGAUCCUGCCCCUGCUUCUCCACGUGCCUGAAACAGCGAGCACCGAUUUGAAUCCCGGGAGGGACUUGCUGCUUUCUAAUUCCCCAGUCAAGCCCGAAGAAUCGGGGGGGCUGCUCCUCGGCCACCCGUGCGGUGCGGCGCUCUAGGCAAUAGGGAGGUCGUGGUAGCGGGGUCCGGUUUUUCUCUCUGUUCCCAUAGCAACGGGAUUUCCCGCCUGGUACCCGCUCUGCAGGCAGCGCGAGCGCCUCUGCGGAGGGCUGAAAAACGGGGAGGAAUCUGCGAAUUACUUGCAGAUUAGCACGGGCCAUGCGCAGUACCCACCUCGGGAGCGGUAAGGGAUAAAGAUUGCGUUCAGCUGCAGAGGGGGAUUUGCAAGCCCGUGAUGAGGGAAGGGCGGCGUUUCGGCAGGUUUAACUCGUGGCAUCCUCGCGAGGCAGCGGCUGCUUUAAGCCUUGGCCGCUGGGCAGGAGCCCAGCCUGCUUUUGGGGCCAGAUGUGGCUCGUACGCAGGGACAGCUGCAGAAGGCAGGGACUUUGCAUCACUAGUACUCCCACACCUAUUUAUUUUUAUUUUUUUUUUGUGUCCUGGAGGACUAGUGACGCUGUCUGGUCACGGCGGCUUUGCUCUGGCAGCACAAGGCAGCCAGGUCGGCCCCACGUUUGCAGGCAAGGGACCUCGGCUCUGAAGCCGUGGUACGAACCCUGGACUCUAAUCCCUGCUAUCAAGGAGGACGGUGCUCGCUGAGCUCUUUCUGCCCCGUAGCUGGAGCAGAGUUGGAGGCACGCUGUGCAAAGCUGUAGGAGAAGUGCAAGGAGAAGCGUAAUUUCCCCGUUAAAAGGGGGUUGUGUGCCCUGAAGUUGCGUGCCUGGUUCCUCAUCAGAGGCUGCGUAACCCGGUGCCCUGUGCAAGGCUUCUGGGUCCGCCAGAGAAAUGGUGAGAGGCCGCUCGGGCUGGGGGUGCAGUCGCCGGCGUGAGUAACUCGGGCACAGCACCCGGAUAGCAUCUGGCAUCCUUGUUUUCCUUUCUAAUCACGGAUCGGCAAGGGUUUGGGUGGUUCCUGUCACCCACACCAAGAUGAUCGAAUUGCUCUUAUCUCAGGGAUGUUUCUUAUAAACGCUUCCCCUGGAGCACUUCCACUCGCCUCCCAGUUUCCUAAGAAGUGUGAGAACCUCUAAUUGAACGGGCGGAUGGUGCACCUGUACGUUUGCAGGCUGUCCCGAUCUUUGGGAGUUUGCCUGGCUUUUGGGAUAGUGGAAAAACGACGAGAGAAACAAAACCUCGCAGCUCCCCCCUCCCCUUGCUUUAUUUCAGGUGCUCCUGAAGCGCCCGGGGCCGUCCCCUUGCUGCUGCAAGCUGCGCCUUUUCCGGGCUUAUACAAGCGAAAGAUCGGCUCUGGCUCCAAAGCAAACCAUCCUUCCCCGAUCCGUGCUGCGCCCCGGCACCGGCAUCUGGGGCCGUGCGUGACCCCCCGGCCGGAGCCCGCGGUGCGUGGGGCUGCGCUCUCCUCGCUCCCCGGCUGCGGGGACCUGCCGAGCCGGCGGCACCCACCGCUCUCCCCCUCGCGCGUUCACGGUAGGAAUGAGAUUGCUCGCUGGAAGGGGGAACCGGAGCUUUGCAGCACCUUUUGAGUAGUUCAAAGGCUGAAAGCACACAAGUGGUAGCGAUCGGAGCUUAGAGCGUCCCGUGUCUCCAAGCUGCAGGUGGCUCAAGCAACCUCUUGGAAAUAGCUGAGCAGUUUCUGUCUCCUACCUGCAUGGC